rnacentral:rRNA from 1 species
CUUGCUUCUCUUGAGAGCGGCGGACGGGUGAGUAAUGCCUAGGAAUCUGCCUGGUAGUGGGGGAUAACGUUCGGAAACGGACGCUAAUACCGCAUACGUCCUACGGGAGAAAGCAGGGGACCUUCGGGCCUUGCGCUAUCAGAUGAGCCUAGGUCGGAUUAGCUAGUUGGUGGGGUAAUGGCUCACCAAGGCGACGAUCCGUAACUGGUCUGAGAGGGUGAUCAGUCACACUGGAACUGAGACACGGUCCAGACUCCUACGGGAGGCAGCAGUGGGGAAUAUUGGACAAUGGGCGAAAGCCUGAUCCAGCCAUGCCGCGUGUGUGAAGAAGGUCUUCGGAUUGUAAAGCACUUUAAGUUGGGAGGAAGGGUUGUAGAUUAAUACUCUGCAAUUUUGACGUUACCGACAGAAUAAGCACCGGCUAACUCUGUGCCAGCAGCCGCGGUAAUACAGAGGGUGCAAGCGUUAAUCGGAAUUACUGGGCGUAAAGCGCGCGUAGGUGGUUUGUUAAGUUGGAUGUGAAAUCCCCGGGCUCAACCUGGGAACUGCAUUCAAAACUGACUGACUAGAGUAUGGUAGAGGGUGGUGGAAUUUCCUGUGUAGCGGUGAAAUGCGUAGAUAUAGGAAGGAACACCAGUGGCGAAGGCGACCACCUGGACUAAUACUGACACUGAGGUGCGAAAGCGUGGGGAGCAAACAGGAUUAGAUACCCUGGUAGUCCACGCCGUAAACGAUGUCAACUAGCCGUUGGAAGCCUUGAGCUUUUAGUGGCGCAGCUAACGCAUUUAGUUGACCGCCUGGGGAGUACGGCCGCAAGGUUAAAACUCAA